rnacentral:rRNA from 1 species
AUCAUUACAGUGUUGGCUGCCCUCACGGGUAGCAAACCUCACCCUUGUAUAUUAUAUCUUACAUUCUGAAAAUGUCGUCUGAGUACUAUCUAAUAGUUAAAACUUUCAACAACGGAUCUCUUGGUUCUGGCAUCGAUGAAGAACGCAGCGAAAUGCGAUAAGUAAUGUGAAUUGCAGAAUUCAGUGAAUCAUCGAAUCUUUGAACGCACCUUGCGCUCCUUGGUAUUCCGAGGAGCAUGCCUGUUUGAGUGUCAUUAGAUUCUCAACCUCACCAGUUUUGUUAUGAGACUGUGUAAGGCUUGGAUGUGGGGGUUUGUGCAGGCUGCCUUUUGGCGGUCUGCUCCCCUGAAAUGCAUUAGCGGGUUCACUAAGCUCCGUCUAUUGGUGUGAUAAUUAUCUACGCCAUGGGAUGGGUUUAGACUUGCUUCUAACCGUCCGCAAGGACAACUUUUGACAAUUUGACCUCAAAUCAGGUAGGACUACCCGCUGAACUUAAGCAUAUCAAUAAGCGGAGGAAAGGG